rnacentral:rRNA from 1 species
CUUUCUCCGCCGGCGACCGGCGCACGGGUGACGUAACACGUAUGGCAAACCUGCCCCUGUCAGGGGGACAACCCGCCGAAAGGCGGGCUAAACCCGCGUACAUGCCACCGGGGCAUCCCGGAGGCAGGAAAGGCUUCGGCCGGACAGGGAUGGGCAUGCGGCGCAUUAGGCAGUAGGCGGGGUAACGGCCCACCUAACCGACGAUGCGUAGGGGUUCUGAGAGGAAGGUCCCCCACACUGGUACUGAGACACGGACCAGACUCCUACGGAAGGCAGCAG